CUACGGGCCGCAGCAGCUAAGAAUCUUCCGCAAUGGACGCAAGUCUGACGGAGCGACGCCGCGUGAACGAAGAAGGCCGAAAGGUUGUAAAGUUCUUUUCUAGUGGAGGAAUAACCGGUGCAGGGAAUGGCACUGGGAUGACGUUAAAUUAGGAAUAAGCAACGGCUAAUUACGUGCCAGCAGCCGCGGUAACACGUAAGUUGCAAGCGUUGUUCGGAUUCAUUGGGCGUAAAGGGCAUAUAGGCGGCAUAGCAAGUCUGGUGUGAAAUAUCCCGGCUCAACCGGGAAGACGCGCUGGAAACUGUUAAGCUAGAGUAUAGGAAGGGAAGCUAGAAUUCCAAGUGUAGGGGUGAAAUCUGUAGAUAUUUGGAAGAAUACCGGUGGCGAAGGCGAGCUUCUGGCCAUAUACUGACGCUGAUAUGCGAAAGCGUGGGGAGCGAACAGGAUUAGAUACCCUGGUAGUC
rnacentral:rRNA from 1 species